GGGGCUGUAGUCGGUCCCAGGGGUUGGGCUGGGCGCCCAUUAAAGCGGCACGGGGGCUGGGUUCAGAACGUCGUGAGACAGUUCGGUCCCUAUCCGCCGUGGGCGUAGGAAAUUUGAGAGGAGCUGUCCUUAGUACGAGAGGACCGGGAUGGACCAACCUCUGGUGCACCAGUUGUUCCGCCAGGAGCACAGCUGGGUAGCUAUGUUGGGAAGGGAUAAACGCUGAAAGCAUCUAAGCGUGAAGCCCACCUCAAGAUUAGAUUUCCCAUAGCGUAAGCUAGUAAGACCCCUGAAAGACUAUCAGGUUGAUAGGUUGGAGGUGUAAGUACAGUAAUGUAUUCAGCUGACCAAUACUAAUAGGUCGAGGGCUUGAUCAAAUU
rnacentral:rRNA from 1 species